rnacentral:siRNA from 1 species
UUUGGGUACGGUGUAUGUCACCA